rnacentral:rRNA from 1 species
GGAAUUUUGCGCAAUGGGCGGAAGCCUGACGCAGCAACGCCGCGUGGAGGAAGAAGGCCCUCGGGUCGUAAACUCCUGUCCAUGGGGAAGAUGGUGACGGUACCCUUGGAGGAAGCCCCGGCUAACUCCGUGCCAGCAGCCGCGGUAAUACGGGGGGGGCGAGCGUUGUUCGGAUUUACUGGGCGUAAAGGGCGCGCAGGCGGCGCCGGAAGUCCUGGGUGAAAGCUCCCGGCUCAACUGGGAGAGGGCCUGGGAAACCACGGUGCUGGAGUGCUGGAGAGGGAAGCGGAAUUCCCGGUGUAGCGGUGAAAUGCGUAGAGAUCGGAAGGAACACCAGUGGCGAAGGCGACACCCUGGUCCAACACUGACGCUGAGGUGCGAAAGCGUGGGGAGCA